GGCUCCGGAGUGAAGCUACAGGCAGAAAUGUCUCGGCCAGUGAUGCAGGCCUGAGCCGUGGCCUAAUAAACGUGGAUGUGAACAUCUGGAUGCCUGGCGCCUCAUUGUAGGCCCGGCGACAGAAGGAGUGGGCCUGCGGUGUGGGCCUGGGCUCCUGGGAUUUACUCAGUCACUUAGGACCAGGCAGAAACCCCGGCGUGAACCUGUGGGUCUCCUCCAGCCUCAGGCAGGACUUGGAAGAGGGUGCCCUGAACAAGAAGUGCAAGUCUCGUGAUAGCACUCCCAGGCCAGCUACCUCCCGAGACCCCUAGACAUGGACCUGCCCCCACCAAGUGCCCCUCCCCCAGCGAUCCCUACAGACCCAUUACACACUGCACACUGCUUCACAUGCACGUACCCUCCUCCUCUUCUUUCCCUGAACACCUGAGAAUAUCUCUCAAGAGCCAACUUCCCUUCCCCAGCCCCCUUAAACUUGCUCAAAGAGACGCAGACCACCCUCAUCCCUGCCUCCAAGUAAAAAUAGCUUUCUUUUCUCUUUGUACUGGCAAAUGCACACACUAAGCAAGUGUUGAGUUCCUUAAUGUAUAUCUAAGGGAGGGGUUUGUGCACAUGAGUCCAAUGCCUGCAUAGGCCGUACUAACCUGUCAGACCCCUGGCUCUGGGGUCAGGCAGCCUUGAGUAGCCUAGUCUAGAUGCUGGGGGCCAGGCUUGGGUCCUCUGCCAAGAGCAGCAAGCACUCUAAACCACUGAGCCAUCUUCACCCCGUGUUUCCAUCCCAUCACAGAAGAGAACUGCUGCAAAAUUGAGGCUACUUUGUGCUGUAUAAGACUGCCUCAGAAUAAGAGAAACAAUUAUAUACAUUUGAGUCC
rnacentral:lncRNA from 1 species